GACGAACGCUGGCGGCGUGCUUAACACAUGCAAGUCGAACGGAAAGGCCCUGCUUUUGUGGGGUGCCCGAGUGGCGAACGGGUGAGUAACACGUGAGUAACCUGCCCUUGACUUUGGGAUAACUUCAGGAAACUGGGGCUAAUACCGGAUAGGAGCUCCUGCUGCAUGGUGGGGGUUGGAAAGUUUCGGCGGUUGGGGAUGGACUCGCGGCUUAUCAGCUUGUUGGUGGGGUAGUGGCUUACCAAGGCUUUGACGGGUAGCCGGCCUGAGAGGGUGACCGGCCACAUUGGGACUGAGAUACGGCCCAGACUCCUACGGGAGGCAGCAGUGGGGAAUAUUGCACAAUGGGCGGAAGCCUGAUGCAGCAACGCCGCGUGCGGGAUGACGGCCUUCGGGUUGUAAACCGCUUUCGCCUGUGACGAAGCGUGAGUGACGGUAAUGGGUAAAGAAGCACCGGCUAACUACGUGCCAGCAGCCGCGGUGAUACGUAGGGUGCGAGCGUUGUCCGGAUUUAUUGGGCGUAAAGGGCUCGUAGGUGGUUGAUCGCGUCGGAAGUGUAAUCUUGGGGCUUAACCCUGAGCGUGCUUUCGAUACGGGUUGACUUGAGGAAGGUAGGGGAGAAUGGAAUUCCUGGUGGAGCGGUGGAAUGCGCAGAUAUCAGGAGGAACACCAGUGGCGAAGGCGGUUCUCUGGGCCUUUCCUGACGCUGAGGAGCGAAAGCGUGGGGAGCGAACAGGCUUAGAUACCCUGGUAGUCCACGCUGUAAACGGUGGGUACUAGGUGUGGGGUCCAUUCCACGGGUUCCGUGCCGUAGCUAACGCUUUAAGUACCCCGCCUGGGGAGUACGGCCGCAAGGCUAAAACUCAAAGGAAUUGACGGGGCCCCGCACAAGCGGCGGAGCAUGCGGAUUAAUUCGAUGCAACGCGUAGAACCUUACCUGGGUUUGACAUGGAUCGGGAGUGCUCAGAGAUGGGUGUGCCUCUUUUGGGGUCGGUUCACAGGUGGUGCAUGCCUGUCGUCAGCUCGUGUCGUGAGAUGUUGGGUUAAGUCCCGCAACGAGCGCAACCCUUGUUCACUGUUGCCAGCACGUUAUGGUGGGGACUCAGUGGAGACCGCCGGGGUCAACUCGGAGGAAGGUGGGGAUGACGUCAAGUCAUCAUGCCCCUUAUGUCCAGGGCUUCACGCAUGCUACAAUGGCUGGUACAGAGAGUGGCGAGCCUGUGAGGGUGAGCGAAUCUCGGAAAGCCGGUCUCAGUUCGGAUUGGGGUCUGCAACUCGACCUCAUGAAGUCGGAGUCGCUAGUAAUCGCAGAUCAGCAACGCUGCGGUGAAAACGUUCCCGGG
rnacentral:rRNA from 1 species